CCAAUUUGUGUUAUAUACAAUUUAUAAUAAUAAUAUUGCUAUCACGGCAUGCGAGAACCCCGGAAAGACUUACAUUGGAAAGAACAUACGAAAACAUGGUUUCCACUUAAGACAAUAACAUGAAUCAUAAUUAAUAUUCUUUCAAUCAAAUCCAGAGAUGUUAAAUGUGAGCGUCAAACUUUAUCAAGAGGAAUGAGAAUGGGUGGUAUGCAGGCCAGAAACUUUAGGACUCUUGACUCCAUUAUAAAGCUCAAGACUCAAGACGGCUCACUUGUUACUAGGAGAACCUAUAAUCUAUUUGAAUACCUCACAACCAUCGACAUAAUACGCAAA